GGGAAGCAGCCCUGUGAAGGUGAGCAAAUCCCAAAAAUAACGUCCCAGUUCGGAUUGUAGUCUGCAACCCGACUACAUGAAGCUGGAAUCGCUAGUAAUCGCGGAUCAGAAUGCCGCGGUGAAUACGUUCCCGGGUCUUGUACACACCGCCCGUCACACCAUGGGAGUCGGAAAUGCCCGAAGCCGGUGACUCAACCUUUAAGGAGAGAGCCGUCGAAGGCAGGUCUGGUAACUGGGGUGAAGUCGUAACAAGGUAGC
rnacentral:rRNA from 1 species